rnacentral:misc_RNA from 1 species
GAUGAAGAACGUAGCGAAAUGCGAUACUUGGUGUGAAUUGCAGAAUCCCGUGAACCAUCGAGUCUUUGAACGCAAGUUGCGCCCGAAGCCAUCAGGUUGAGGGCACGUCUGCCUGGGCGUCACAUAUCGUUGCCCAAUGCCUAUUGCAGUGCAAUAGGAAUUUCUAGGGCGAAUGAUGGCUUCCCGUGAGCGUUGUUGCCUCGCGGUUGGUUGAAAAUCGAGUCCUUGGUAGGGUGUGCCAUGGUAGAUGGUGGUCGAGUUAGAACGAUGCCGAUCAUGUGCAUGCUCCCCAAAAUAUGGCCUCUAUGACCGACACGCGUCUUUUGACGCUCAUGACGAGACCUCAGGUCAGGCGGGGCUACCCGCUGAAUUUAAGCAUAUCAAUAAGCGGAGGA